GACGAACGCUGGCGGCGUGCCUAAUACAUGCAAGUCGAACGCUGAAGCAGGAGCUUGCUCUUCUGGAUGAGUUGCGAACGGGUGAGUAACGCGUAGGUAACCUGCCUGGUAGCGGGGGAUAACUAUUGGAAACGAUAGCUAAUACCGCAUAACAGUAGAUGUUGCAUGACAUUUGUUUAAAAGUUUCAAUUGCUUCACUUCCAGAUGGACCUGCGUUGGUUUUGCUAGUUGGUGGGGUAACGGCUCACCAAGGCGACGAGACAUACCCGACCGGGGAGGGGGGUCCGCCGACCUGGGAGGGGGACAGGGCCCAGACUGCCUCGGGAGGGCGCAGGAGGGAAACGUCGGCAAUGGGCGGAAGUCUGACCGAACAACGCCGAGGGAGUGAAGAAGGUUGUCGGGUCGGAAAUGUCUGUUUUAAGGGAAGAACGAGUAUGAGAGUGGAAAGAUCACACUGUGACGGUAACUGACCAAAAAGGGACGGCUAACUACGUG
rnacentral:rRNA from 1 species